AGAGUUUGAUCAUGGCUCAGAUUGAACGCUGGCGGCAGGCCUAACACAUGCAAGUCGAGCGGUAGCACAGAGAGCUUGCUCUCGGGUGACGAGCGGCGGACGGGUGAGUAAUGUCUGGGAAACUGCCUGAUGGAGGGGGAUAACUACUGGAAACGGUAGCUAAUACCGCAUAACGUCGCAAGACCAAAGUGGGGGACCUUCGGGCCUCAUGCCAUCAGAUGUGCCCAGAUGGGAUUAGCUAGUAGGUGGGGUAACGGCUCACCUAGGCGACGAUCCCUAGCUGGUCUGAGAGGAUGACCAGCCACACUGGAACUGAGACACGGUCCAGACUCCUACGGGAGGCAGCAGUGGGGAAUAUUGCACAAUGGGCGCAAGCCUGAUGCAGCCAUGCCGCGUGUGUGAAGAAGGCCUUCGGGUUGUAAAGCACUUUCAGCGGGGAGGAAGGCGUUAAGGUUAAUAACCUUGGCGAUUGACGUUACCCGCAGAAGAAGCACCGGCUAACUCCGUGCCAGCAGCCGCGGUAAUACGGAGGGUGCAAGCGUUAAUCGGAAUUACUGGGCGUAAAGCGCACGCAGGCGGUCUGUCAAGUCGGAUGUGAAAUCCCCGGGCUUAACCUGGGAACUGCAUUCGAAACUGGCAGGCUAGAGUCUUGUAGAGGGGGGUAGAAUUCCAGGUGUAGCGGUGAAAUGCGUAGAGAUCUGGAGGAAUACCGGUGGCGAAGGCGGCCCCCUGGACAAAGACUGACGCUCAGGUGCGAAAGCGUGGGGAGCAAACAGGGUUAGAUACCCUGGUAGUCCACGCCGUAAACGAUGUCGAUUUGGAGGUUGUGCCCUUGAGGCGUGGCUUCCGGAGCUAACGCGUUAAAUCGACCGCCUGGGGAGUACGGCCGCAAGGUUAAAACUCAAAUGAAUUGACGGGGCCCGCACAAGCGGUGGAGCAUGUGGUUUAAUUCGAUGCAACGCGAAGAACCUUACCUGGUCUUGACAUCCACAGAGCUUUCCAGAGAUGGAUUGGUGCCUUCGGGAACUGUGAGACAGGUGCUGCAUGGCUGUCGUCAGCUCGUGUUGUGAAAUGUUGGGUUAAGUCCCGCAACGAGCGCAACCCUUAUCCUUUGUUGCCAGCGGUCCGGCCGGGAACUCAAAGGAGACUGCCAGUGAUAAACUGGAGGAAGGUGGGGAUGACGUCAAGUCAUCAUGGCCCUUACGACCAGGGCUACACACGUGCUACAAUGGCAUAUACAAAGAGAAGCGACCUCGCGAGAGCAAGCGGACCUCAUAAAGUAUGUCGUAGUCCGGAUUGGAGUCUGCAACUCGACUCCAUGAAGUCGGAAUCGCUAGUAAUCGUAGAUCAGAAUGCUACGGUGAAUACGUUCCCGGGCCUUGUACACACCGCCCGUCACACCAUGGGAGUGGGUUGCAAAAGAAGUAGGUAGCUUAACCUUCGGGAGGGCGCUUACCACUUUGUGAUUCAUGACUGGGGUGAAGUCGUAACAAGGUAACCGUAGGGGAACCUGCGGUUGGAUCACCU
rnacentral:rRNA from 1 species